AUUGGUAGAGGAGCAUUGUAUACGGGACGAAGCAGUACCGAUAAGGAGCUGUGGACUGUAUAGAAGAGAGAAUGCCGGAAUGAGUAGCGAGAGGAAGGUGAGAAUCCUUCCGGCCGAAUAUCUAAGGUUUCCAGAGUAAAGCUGAUCUGCUCUGGGUAAGUCGGGGCCUAAGGCCAGGUCGAAAGACGUAACCGAUGGACAACAGGUUGAAAUUCCUGUACCUUAAGUAAACAGAACUGUGGGGACACGUGUGGAGAGCACAAGCCGGAAAUGGAAAAGCCGGUGCAAGCGGGGUAGGAGAUGAACAGGCAAAUCCGUUCAUCAAUCCGAAGACGUGAUGCGGACCGAAUUAAGAGUAGGGAAGUGUGUGAGCCAUGCGUCAAGAAAAGCCGCUAUUGUUUUACUUAAGCCCGUACCGUAAACCGACACAGGUGGAUGAGGAGAGAAUCCUAAGGCCGACGGGAGAAGCAUUGUUAAGGAACUCGGCAAAAUGACUCCGUAACUUCGGGAGAAGGAGUGCCAGCGAGAGCUGGCCGCAGAGAAUUGGCCCAAGCAACUGUUUAGCAAAAACACAGGUCUAUGCAAAACCGUAAGGUGAAGUAUAUGGGCUGACGCCUGCCCGGUGCUGGAAGGUUAAGAGGAGAGGUUAGCGGCAACGCGAAGCUUUGAAUUUAAGCCCCAGUAAACGGCGGCCGUAACUAUAACGGUCCUAAGGUAGCGAAAUUCCUUGUCGGGUAAGUUCCGACCCGCACGAAAGGCGUAAUGAUUUGGGCACUGUCUCAACAAUGCACCCGGUGAAAUUGAAAUACCAGUGAAGAUGCUGGUUACCUGCGCCAGGACGGAAAGACCCCAUGGAGCUUUACUCCAGCUUGAUACUGGGAUUCGGUAUUGCAUGUACAGGAUAGGUGGGAGGCUAGGAAGUGAUAACGCCAGUUGUCACGGAGCCGCUGUUGGGAUACCACCCUUGCAGUAUUGGAUUUCUAACCAGCGACCAUGAACUGGUCGGGGGACAAUGUCAGGUGGGGAGUUUGACUGGGGCGGUCGCCUCCGAAAGGGUAUCGGAGGCGCUCAAAGGUUCCCUCAGAAUGGACGGAAACCAUUCGAAGAGUGCAAAGGCAGAAGGGAGCUUGACUGCGACACCGACGGGUGGAGCAGGUACGAAAGUAGGACUUAGUGAUCCGGUGGUAUAAAGUGGGAUUGCCAUCGCUCAACGGAUAAAAGCUACCCUGGGGAUAACAGGCUUAUCACUCCCAAGAGUUCACAUCGACGGAGUGGUUUGGCACCUCGAUGUCGGCUCAUCGCAUCCUGGGGCUGAAGUAGGUCCCAAGGGUUGGGCUGUUCGCCCAUUAAAGCGGUACGCGAGCUGGGUUCAGAACGUCGUGAGACAGU
rnacentral:rRNA from 1 species